CUGUCCCUAUCUACUAUCUAGCGAAACCACAGCCAAGGGAACGGGCUUGGUAGAAUCAGCGGGGAAAGAAGACCCUGUUGAGCUUGACUCUAGUCCGACUUUGUGAAGACACAUGAAGGGUGUAGCAUAGGUGGGAGCGCAAGCGCAAUUGAAAUACCACUACUUUUAUCGUUUCUUUACUUAUUCAGUCCAGCGGAGAGCGGGGCGCAAGCCCCUCGCUUCUGGAGUUAAGCGGCAACCGGCGCUCGUCGUCGGCCGCGAUCCGCUCUGAAGACAGUGUCAGGCGGGGAGUUUGACUGGGGCGGUACAUCUGUCAAAAGGUAACGCAGGUGUCCUAAGGCGAGCUCAGCGAGGACGGAAACCUCGCGUAGAGCAAAAGGGCAAAAGCUCGCUUGAUUUUGAUUUUCAGUACGAAUACAGACCGUGAAAGCGUGGCCUAUCGAUCCUUUUGACUUUAAGAGUUUUAAGCAAGAGGUGUCAGAAAAGUUACCACAGGGAUAACUGGCUUGUGGCAGCCAAGCGUUCAUAGCGACGUUGCUUUUUGAUCCUUCGAUGUC
rnacentral:rRNA from 1 species